rnacentral:rRNA from 1 species
AUCGCUCUUUGAAAAAUUGUUGAUAAAGAGUACUGCCUGCCCGGUGACAAAAUUAAACGGCCGCGGUACUUUGACCGUGCAAAGGUAGCAUAAUCAUUUGUUCUUUAAUUGAGGACUAGAAUGAAAGGCAACACGAAAACUCAACUGUCUCCUCCUUAAAAAAAGAAAUUAAUAUUUUUGUGAAGAAACAAAAAUAAAAAUGCAAGACGAGAAGACCCUGUCGAGCUUAAGAAAAUUUUUAUAAAAAAUAAAAAAGAUAAAUUAAAUUUUUUACUUCUAAAAUAAAAUAAAAAUAUCUUUGGUUGGGGCAACCACGAAGAAAAAAAAACCUUCGUUUUAAAUAAAAAAUUUACUAAUUUAAAACUUUAAAUAAGAAAAAAGAUCCAGAAAAUACUGAUCAAAGAAAAAAGUUACCGCAGGGAUAACAGCGUUAUUCUCUUUAAGAGCCCAUAUUGACAAGAGAGUUUGCGACCUCGAUGUUGGAUCGGGGCACCCAAGAGGUGUAGCAGCCUCUAAAGGUAGGUCUGUUCGACCUUUAAAGCCCUACGUGAU